UUUAACUUCCUACGGGAGGCUGCAGUGGGGAAUCUUAGACAAUGCUGGGAAACCCUGAUCUAGCCAUGCCGCGUGAUCGAUGAAGGCCUUAGGGUUGUAAAGAUCUUUCAGGUGGGAAGAUAAUGACUGUACCACCAGAAGAAGCCCCGGCUAACUCCGUGCCAGCAGCCGCGGUAAUACGGAGGGGGCUAGCGUUGUUCGGAAUUACUGGGCGUAAAGCGCACGUAGGCGGAUCAGAAAGUCAGAGGUGAAAUCCCAGGGCUCAACCUUGGAACUGCCUUUGAAACUCCUGAUCUUGAGGUCGAGAGAGGUGAGUGGAAUUCCGAGUGUAGAGGUGAAAUUCGUAGAUAUUCGGAGGAACACCAGUGGCGAAGGCGGCUCACUGGCUCGAUACUGACGCUGAGGUGCGAAAGCGUGGGGAGCAAACAGGAUUAGAUACCCUUGUAGUCGAAUUCU
rnacentral:rRNA from 1 species